rnacentral:lncRNA from 1 species
AAAAAAAAAAGAAAAAUAAUAGUAAUAAUAAAAGGAUAAAGGAGCAUUCCUCACUUUCUCUGCCCUUGUAAGUUUUCUUUCUGUCUUUUACCUUCAAAAUCCCAUAUCAGCUAUCAAACAAUGAACACGAAAAAAUGAGAGGAAUUCCUAUGAUUUGCUUUUUGUAACAACAGUAAGAAAAACCAUCUCAAUGAAUCUCAAAAGUAACUGGAUCAACUAACGAAAUAAAUUCUGGAGCAUAGAGAAACUUUGGCCAAAUCAUCCAAAUAAAUCAAAAUUUGCCAGUCUACCAACCAUCUUCAUCUGUUGUCAUCUUCUUCUGCAAUGCACCAGUUUCAAACUCAAAUGUUGGAACUCGCAAACCCAAAGACAUGAUGUAUCUGUGAAAUGGGAUCUGUAUACCUCAAAUCUAUUGGCACAUAUGCACAUUGUUGCAUACAUUAUGAUAGAUCAUCACUAUUAAGUAUAUUAGCGUGGAUAGUUUGGACUUUAAGGUGAUGAUAUGGCAUUGUAGCUAGUAACAUCUCUUUAUUGAAAUAUUUAUUUGAGAACCAGUGUAGUUCUUUGGCCAAAUCACUUUGGUUUUUUCAUUUCUACUUGCUCUUUAUUUGUUUCCCUGUUUCAUCCACCCCCCCCAAAAAAAAAAUAAUAAUAAUAAUAAAAGAAAAAAGGAGCAUUCCUCACUUUCUCUGCCCUUGUAAGUUUUCUUUCUGUCUUUUACCUUCAAAGUCUCACAUCAGCUAUCAAACAAUGAACACGAAAAAAUGAGAGGAAUUCCUAUGAUUUGCUUUUUGUAACAACAGUAAGAAAAACCAUCUCAAUGAAUCUCAAAAGUAACUGGAUCAACUAACGAAAUAAAUUCUGGAGCAUAGAGAAACUUUGGCCAAAUCAUCCAAAUAAAUCAAAAUUUGCCAGUCUACCAACCAUCUUUAUCUGUUGUCAUCUUCUUCUGCAAUGCACCAGUUUCAAACUCAAAUGUUGAACUCGCAAACCCAAAGACGUGAUGUAUCUGUGAAUUGGGAUCUGUAUACCUCAAAUCUAUUGGCACAUAUGCACAUUGUUGCAUACAUUAUGAUAGAUCAUCACUAUUAAGUAUAUUAGCGUGGAUAGUUUGGACUUUAAGGUGAUGAUAUGGCAUUGUAGCUAGUAACAUCUCUUUAUUGAAAUAUUUAUUUGAGAACCAGUGUAGUUCUUUGGCCAAAUCACUUUAGUUUUUUCAUUUCUACUUGCUCUUUAUUUGUUUCCCUGUUUCAUCCCCCCCCCCCCCAAAAAAAAUAAUAAUAAUAAUAAUAAAAGAAAAAAGGAGCAUUUCUCACUUUCUCUGCCCUUGUAAGUUUUCUUUCUGUCUUUUACCUUCAAAGUCCCAUAUCAGCUAUCAAACAAUGAACACUUUGCUUUUUGUAACAACAGUGAGAAAAACCAUCUCAAUGAAUCUCAAAAGCAACUGGAUCAACUAACGAAAUAAAUUCUGGAGCAUAGAGAAACUUUGGCCAAAUCAUCCAAAUAAAUCAAAAUUUGCCAGUCUACCAACCAUCUUUAUCUGUUGUCAUCUUCUUCUGCAAUGCAUCAGUUUCAAACUCAAAUGUUGAACUCGCAAACCCAAAGACGUGAUGUAUCUGUGAAUUGGGAUCUGUAUACCUCAAAUCUAUUGGCACAUAUUCAACAAAAAAUUAAUUACUAAACAGGCCUAGAGUCCAAAUAAUGAUACAAAAAUAUCUAUGUGUAUGUGUAAGAAAAAUUG